CUCUCCUAACCCACACCACAAGUGUUAGUUUCUUGCCACUCUAACUACCUUUUAUAUAACUACCUAGUGUUUAUACCAGAGCUGUAAUGUGGUGUCUGGAACACUGCAGGUGACUAAUAAGUGCUUAUUGAGUCACCUAGGAGCCACAAUGGAUAGAAUUCUGUACUAGUGGGGAAUCAAAAGGAACAAGUUUUGACAGAUACUUGAGAGAGAGGGAAAAGAUAAAGAGUAACACCAAUCCCAGCCCCAGGCCAGAGCUGUUUGAAUGAUAGAGUCAGAUCUGAGUAGAGCCAAAGGGUCACCACACAGACAUCUGAAAAAUGGACGUGUCCAGACUUGGAGGCAGUCUCUGGAGCUUGAGGAGUUAGAGUUCAUGGGUUCCUCAGUCAGGACUGGAAGUAUAAUGGAGAGUGUCCUCUAUGUCCUUCACAACUCUUUCUGGGAAAGAAUAUAACCAUCUACAGCAAGAUGAGCUCAAGCCAAGAGUUGCCACAUGACAAGAACCUGGAGGGAAUUUUUGGACAGGACGGAGAAAAGGUAAACUAGAAAUGCUUCUUCUGCUGUACCUGCAAACUACAUCAUGUCUUUGUUUUAGGCAGCCACCUCCUGAGAGAUUAUCAGAGUAGUUAUGUGACUACUGCUGCCUGUUCAAAAUUUUCUGCCAAUGAAACUUGUGGGUUUUGUGUUGUGGGGUACUGGCAAAUGUUUAACAGUUGGGAGCUCAGGGAGUUGGGAAUUGCAUAUGUGACGCACUUUUAAUUUUUAUCUGUAUUAUUAACAUUUUCUUUUUUCUUUUCUUUGGUUUUGUCAAAUCAAUAAAACAGUAAAUCAA